rnacentral:misc_RNA from 1 species
CAACCCUCGGGCCCCCCUCUGCGGGCGGCCCGGCGUUGGGGCUCAGGCGCCGUCUCUGCUCGGCGCCUGUCCCCUAAAUGCAGUGGCGGCCUCGCCGCUGCCUCCUCCGCGUAGUAGCACAAACCUCGCGGCUGGAAGGCGGCGCGGCCACGCCGUAAAACCCCCCAACUUUACCAA